AGCAGCCGCGGUAAUUCCAGCUCCAAUAGCGUAUAUUAAAGUUGUUGCAGUUAAAAAGCUCGUAGUUGAAUUUCGGGACCAUCAUGUCGGUCGUGCCUCGGUACGUACUGGCAUUGUUGGUUUCUCCCUUCUGACGAACCAUGAUGUCAUUUAUUUGGUGUUGUGGGAAAUCAGGACUGUUACUUUGAAAAAAUUAGAGUGUUUAAAGCAGGCUCACGCUUGAAUACAUUAGCAUGGAAUAAUGAAAUAGGACGUUUGAUUCUAUUUUGUUGGUUUCUAGGAUCGACGUAAUGAUUAAUAGGGAUAGUUGGGGGCAUUAGUAUUCAAUUGUCAGAGGUGAAAUUCUUGGAUUUAUUGAAGACUAACUACUGCGAAAGCAUUUGCCAAGGAUGUUUCAUUAAUCAAGAACGAAAGUUAGGGGAUCGAAGACGAUCAGAUACCGUCGUAGUC
rnacentral:rRNA from 1 species